rnacentral:rRNA from 1 species
UACGAAGGGUCCAAGCGUUAAUCGGAAUUACUGGGCGUAAAGCGUGCGCAGGCGGCUUUGCAAGACAGAUGUGAAAUCCCCGGGCUCAACCUGGGAACUGCAUUUGUGACUGCAGGGCUGGAGUACGGCAGAGGGGGAUGGAAUUCCGCGUGUAGCAGUGAAAUGCGUAGAGAUGUGGAGGAAUACCGAUGGCGAAGGCAGCCCCCUGGGAUAAUACUGACGCUCAGGCACGAAAGCGUGGGGAGCAAACAGG